GCCCGAGGAUGGCUCGAUCAAUCUGACCACCAUUAGAUAGUUCAAUAGAGUCAUCAUAUGAUGAAUAAUAAUUCCAUCAUUUAGAGGAAACACCAGACGGCUGGCAUUUGCAAUGUCAAUCUGAAGUAAUGGACCCAUUAUCAUUUACCUUAAUAGGAGGCUAUGAUCUAGUUAUCCCGAUAACUAGCUCCUUUUAUGGACCU
rnacentral:lncRNA from 1 species